GAUGAAGAACGCAGCGAAAUGCGAUAAGUAGUGUGAAUUGCAGAAUUCAGUGAAUCAUCGAAUCUUUGAACGCACAUUGCGCCCCCUGGUAUUCCGGGGGGCAUGCCUGUUCGAGCGUCAUUACAACCCUCAAGCUCUGCUUGGUAUUGGGCCCCGCCAGUUCUGGCGGGCCCUAAAGUCAGUGGCGGUGCCUUCCGGCUCCGAGCGUAGUAAUUCUUCUCGCUCUGGAGACCCGGUUGUGUGCUUGCCAACAACCCCCAAUUUUUUAAGGUUGACCUCGGAUCAGGUAGGGAUACCCGCUGAACUUAAGCAUAUCAAUAAGCGGAGGA
rnacentral:misc_RNA from 1 species